UUUAAUAAUUUUCAUUCUUAAAAUUAAAAAAAUAAAAAAAGAAACCUUCCAAAUCCUUACCUACCUCUCUCAUCCCUCACAACCCUUUCUCUUUCAUCUCUUUCACUCCAACCUUUUCUCUGUCAUCCCUACUCUAGCCCCAAUUGAAAAAAAAUCAAAUACUUGCCUUAUUUUAAAAAAUUUCAUUCUCAAAACUGAAAAAAGAAACCUCAAACCCUUACUCACCUCCUUCAUUCCUUUCAACCCUUUCUCCUUCAUCUCUCUCACUCAAACAUUUUCAACAUUUUCUCUGUCAUCUCUGCACUAGUCCGAACUAAAAAAACACUCAUUAUUAAAUAAAAUGGUUAGAGAAAAAAAUACUUACAUAAAUAAAAAAAUUAAAGCACCUAAUU
rnacentral:lncRNA from 1 species